UAGUGUACAGCUCUUUUAGAAUUUGUCCAGCAGGUUUUCCGGUUUAUUCCGGAAAACCCUU
rnacentral:snRNA from 1 species